GCCGACAUGGUGUCCGGCGAGCAUACGGCCCUGUCACGGCCGUGAUCCGGGUUCGAAUCCCGGCGUCGGCG
rnacentral:tRNA from 1 species